UCUGUGAGAGAGAGAGAGAAAAACAGGACUAGUGGAUCCUCCCCUGCACGUGGGCUGGAGGCGCACGGCUCCUCUGCCGUCCUUCCCAGCGGCUCUGGAGACUCGGGUCCGGGGCAGGCGAAGUAACAGCAGGUCAGUGGGCAGGGUGGGGUCACACCCGGGGCGAACGGGGACCACGGCCACGCUUGAGGGUGACGCUCAGGAAAACGUGAGUCAGCUCCAGGUGGGCAUCCGGGACUUUACAUCUUAAUGGCAACGGGCCCCCGGCACCCUGGGGCCACCAGGCACAGCUGGGCAGGCUGUGCACUACACAAGGGAACUAUGGUACAAUAGCACAGACUUGCACAUUUAUUGCAACAAUUUUCCUGCAGCCAAGGCGUUCCUUUCCGUUAAAGCCAGAAUAUCGCGACCGUUUUCCAACAUGGAAGUGUCUUGAAAAAAGGGCAUCUUUUUCCAACUCCUGCGGUGGUGCUGUAUGCACAGCAGCCACCAGGCGUCCACCCGGCCUGAGCAGGCAGCGUGACAUGAACACAUGCGAAUGCACUCCUAUGCGUAAACUGAGAUCCAUGCUGCCUGUAGAUGAUAAACCUCACCCCCGCCGCAGGGAUCUUGCUUCCCUGGCCCUUUGCCCUCUCGUCCCCCAGGCCCCAUUACCAGACCGUGCUCGUGCUCCUGUACAUUCACCUGAACCAGCACCCAUGCCUUGGCGUCUCUUAGGUACAAGCCUCAACCGGAAUUCAGAGUCCCUUUGGGCUUCCGCUAAACCCACUGGGGGAACACCACAACGUGGCCAGUCCCUGGCUGCUGGGCUGUCUGUGGCCGGGCAGACGAGGAGUCCUUCGAUGCAGAGGGUGCCCCGGUAUCCUGUCCGUGGUUCUACCCUGUGGUAGAACAGCAUGACGUAACCUACCAUAGGGUAAAACCACUGGCAGGACACAGAGAGACGGACACACACAGGGCGGGAGCCACACCAGAAGCCCACCAAGCAGAGCCUGGAGAGGAGGUCACCACGGGAAAGACAGCCAUCGAUCCACCGGAGCCAACACAGAGGGCAAAGCCACCAACGAACAGAGGACCCAACAGCAGCGAGUUCACCCAACACCAAGCGAGAUGUCCCCACGCCGAGACAGGCUCUGCAAAGCUUUUCCUUAAGGAACUGUACCUGGUACCACCCAAGUCAUGAGGACAGUUUUGCAGAACAGAGAGGUCAUUUACUGUCCCAAGGCCAAAGAACCAACCCUCAGAGACCACCAGUAAUCCUGAGGCACCGACUGCCUCAGUCCCAGACCAGCAUGGGUGGGGGGAGCACAGCGUGAAAUCAUGUUAUCAGCAGCUUACACAGUCAACACAGCUACCAGGAAAGUCCAUUUAAGGAGCCCCUUUAAGCUCUCAGUCAGCUGACUCUGCAUCAUGAGGGUCUCCAGGCACUCGUGUGUGACUGAGGGCCCCAGAACACUGGCCAUGGAGGACAAAUGCCGCCCGAGGCCACUGGGCCGCUGCUGGAGCCGCACAGGGCCCCCUCCCAGCUCGGGCCCUUACCCCUGCGUCCGAGGGUCCUCCCACUGGGUGGUGCGUGUGUUAUGGUUCACGUAAUACACCCGUCCGUUGUCUUGUCUCUUCUCUGCCAGGGAGAAGGAGGAAAAGAGGACAGUCAGAUUGGGACAUCUUGAGUCCUGUUCUCUGCCCCUCCGGGUGCCCCUUUCCAGGUGCUGGGGUCUGGCUUGCCGCCGCUCCCGCCCUGCUGGAGAAGUUUAACCAAUAAAAGCCUGGCUCGUGCACAUCUGUCACUGGCAAAGGGGACAAAGAGAAUCUUUCCUUAGUGGGGAGUGGUGGAGGGACAGACACAUUUCCAGCUCAGGAUCAAGCACUGUCUUUGGUUGGUUGGAGAGCAGGGGAGGGGAGAGGGAGGGCACAGUGUGGCAACACUGAGGGGCAGCAGCCCAGCUGAAAGCAGAGGCCUAAUUGCAUCCAGCUGUGUGCAAAGUGGAGGCCCUCACCCACGCCCCAUCCCCCUCACCAAGUCCCUGGCAGCUGGUCUCUGGUCCUGCAAGCGCUCUGCCCGCCAGUUGCAGGGAUGGAGGCGCCUGUGGGGGUUGUAUUACUCUCAUAACUCUCUCUGAUCAGUACUCCACCUACCCUCUACUUAUCUUUUCUCUCCUCAGAGGCAAAGUUUUGUCCUAAAACUCUCACUCUCUAUGUUGCUUAUGUGCAAAUAAAUGCAGGGACUGCGGCACUUACAAUGCCCUUCUAGCUCUCACACCUAAGGGCAUGCGUCCUGCGUUUGGGAGAGCUCAGACAUUCUCUCUCCUCUGGACAAGGCUUACUCUCUUGCUUGCCCUUUGCCUGUGCUCUGAGGAUGGCCUGGGGUCCUUCAGGGAGGGAAUCGGCUUCAGGAGCAGACCCGAUUCUAGUGGGGACUCCAGGCCCUGAAAAAGGUUAAAAGGUCACCCCAUCAGCUCUGGGUGCAUGGAAGGCAGAACUCAGGGCAAGGCUCUGAGCCCAGACGGGUUGCCUUCCCCAGAAAGUUUCUGGGCCUUCAAAUCUGUUUCUGUCUUGAGAACAAAUGAUGCUAAUGGCCCCCUCUCACUGGGGAAAAUUAAAGAAAUAAAGACAAUCAGUUCCAGAACCUAACAGGGAAACCAAAAAUCAAAAAGGAGCAGAACUGGGGCGGGAGCCCCCAUCCCCUCCCCUCAAGUGUCAGGCUGCAACAUUCCCAAUACCAACCCCAGGCUUGGACUCCGUCUAUCUUACCUGGUAUCCAUUCAUCGAUAAAAAACAGGCAAACAAAAGGAGUCAAGAGAAGGAAUUUGCUACAGAGCUACGCCCACCUCAGAAGGCUUUCUGAGAGGGACCUGCGGGAGGGAAGGGCCCCCAGCCAGAGGCUUCUGCCCUCAGCUGGACCCUCCACAUUUGCUCUGCCUGGGCCUCAGUCAGCGCUCACCGCCAGGCUGCGGGAUCUGCCCAGUAGGUCUGAGGCCUGUGCCCUUGCUUCUGGCACUGCUCCCUGCACAGGGGGUCUUUGGUGUGGUCCCUCAGAACUGCUCUGCUGCACACAAUUUCAUGGUUUGGGGCUGGAGAGUCCUAAGAGCACCUAGCUCAGCCUCAUUUAGGGAGAAAUGGACUCGGGGACUUUCGGGCGCGUGUCCAGGGAUCAGGGAAGCUGAGGAGAUGUGGGCCAGAUGCCCCGGCCCCUGAGCGGAUGCUCAGGAAGGACCACGGGGUCUGUCAUGAAGGAGUAGGAAGGGACGCAGGGCUGAGACCAGGAGGACACAGCAGACCCGACAGCAGGCUCGUGCUAAAGGCAAUUCUCGUUUAGUUCUGCUGCUCUUCCUGUUCAAUCUCGGCUCUCCCUGGGGAGAUGCCCUGCACCAGCCCUGGAGAGGCCAGCACAGAGCCCGAAGGAUUCGGUUAGGGAGGGCCCCUGGCCCUCGGCCAGAUGCUCUCUCUUCUCUUCUCGGUCACAUACCAUUUAGUUUUGUCCUGUUUUCCUCAUCAUUUGUAAACAGCACCGAUUCCAACCAUGGCUCCGAGUCCCAUCUCAGAUAUGUCACAUGUGGCUUCUGGGAACUGUUUGCAAGUCCUUAUAGCUACACCCUCACUUGGUGACCAUCAUUUAGCAAAACUGGCACAGAAAUCAAUUACUUGACUCUACGGAGAAAGGUGCCACUCUGAGCCCCCAGCUCCAGGUCACAGUGUCUACUGGCUGCCAAACAGCAUUCCAGGUUCCGGUUUAAUCUGUUGAGUUUCCCCCUACCUAGACAGGGAUCUUGUGCGGGACCUCUGACUCGCUGCCAGUCUCUGAGACAGCAAUGACCUUUCAUCGGCUCAGGGAGCGAAGUGGAUUCUCUAGUGAGAAAUCAAUUGUGCAGAGGCCUCCCUGACUGACAUAUCCCACCAGGAGGGACGAGGAGGGCCCGCCAGCGCUCCGGAAUGCUGUGGUGAUUCAGUAAGUGAUACCCUGCGGGUCCCAGGGGGUUGAUGCAACUUCGUAAAUUACUACCAGGGAGCAGCUGUGUCUGCACCGGGAGGCUCCGAUGCACAUCCUGUCAUUGUCAGCUUCUCCGUCUUUGCUGGGGAGCAUGCCCCCACCCAACUUAAUACCAUCUGUGAACACCACCAAACCCGCGUUUACUGUCUCCUGCCGGCCUAACCAAUCAAUUAAACCCAACACAGGCCAGUUCCUGCUACACAGUCCUCUUUAGCUCCCAGGAACUCUUGCCUGCUGGAAAAAAAAAAAAUCCCGACCCAGCUCAGAGAGCUGCGGAAAGCACCCAGUCUCACCAUCUAUGAUGACCCCUCUUUGCGUGACCACUCCAUCCCAGAAAAGCCAUAAAGUCUGUAAUUUCUCUCAGGUCCAUCUAUCUCAUUACUGCAAAUCACACCAAAGACUUAGGUGAGAGGCAGCUGUCGAUGACGAGGAGAAGCCAGCAUGAUGCCGUUAACUAGCAAUGGUGUAUUUUAACAGAGUCCCCACCCGUCGCUCAGCGGCUUCCCUCCGGCCCCUUUCACAGCCCGUGUCCCCCCCCCCCCCCAAAAAAAAAAAAAAAAGGUGGCUUCCGUUAGCUCAGGGGUCGGAGCAUCUCAGCAUUAAGCACACAUCUCUUCAGCUGCCCUGACCCUGGGCGUGUUCCCGAGUGUUCCCGAACGUUCCCGAGUCCAUUUCUCCUUAAAUGAGGCUGAGCUAGAUGCUCUCAGUCCUCCAACAUCUCAGCUGUAAAGAAAGGUUUGGUAAAGUAGCUCCUUUCAAUCACACGCCACAGAUCUGAAAUAAACGCAUCUGGGAACCAGCCAUGUCAACAGUGGCAGGAUGGGUGGUUGUUGGGAAGACACCUUGAAAGUCAGGACCCAAAACCAACAGCACCACAGCCGCUCGGGGACUUCCUUCCGCUAUGGCGGAAGUGAACGCUACAUGGCAGGGGGACUCCGUUACUUUCCCAGCCUUCCCGCUCCAUGGCCUGCAACUUCUCUGGCUGGGCAUCCCCACAAGAGCGUGCUGGAAAGAAGUGAACUGGGAAACCGAGGGAGGGGAGAGAGGAGGACUCGCAGGGAGAGCAGGGAGCACGGUGUGGCACCAGCGAAGGGAGGCGGAGGGACAGACGUGGGACUCGGUACUUACCCCAGCCGGGAGGGAGGGGGCCCAGUGGGUCAUGGUCGGUUGAACCACUCGAAGACUAAACACAAGAAACAGCAGAACACAGAGGUUAAAAAAAAACAACACGCCGCUGGUUAAAAAUAAAUCGAUAGAUAAACCUAAAAAACGCCAACUCGUUUCCACAUUUGGGCUCUUUGUAGAGGAGAUCGUGGGCCGUUGGGUGACAUCUGCUCCCCUCAAAAGUCUUUUUCAAAAAAGAAAAGCUGAAAAGGGACCCUGCACGCCGAGGACCCAGAUAGGUGGUGGCGAGGGUGGUGUGAGGGGGAGGAAGAGGAGCGCAGACGAAGGCGGGCCAGGGCCCCAGAGGCGGCGGGCUGGCCCCGGGCAUGGUCGAAGGGCCCAGAGCCGGGCUGCUGGCGAGCUCUGCCGGCCCGGUGCCUCUGCUCAGCUCCUGCUCUCCCGCGGCCAAGGCAACUGAAAUCACCACCACCUCCAACUUUCUCCAAGAACCACACACGGGAAGGGAAAAAAAAUAUCGCAGGCCUUUCCAAUGAAAUCAUUCCCACAAGCCCUGCCCACGCCCAGAGCUUCCUGGCUGGGGGCUGGGCCCUCCUCCCCGCACCUCCCUCCUGGGUGCGCUGGAAGAGGGAGCCGGGUGUGCAGCAUCGGCCCAGACUGAGGGCACAUUCAUGCCCCGGGCCCCUUACCUCCCCCAGGAAUGUUUUGCUUCCCUUCACAAAGCACCUUUAUUCUCCUCCGGCCUGAACCUGAAGCUGCUCAGUGUUCUGUGUGUGCCUGUCUGGGGAGGUGGGGCUGGGGGCGAGGUGGCAGGAGAGAAGGGGAGACAGGAGAAAGAAGGGGGAGCUGACUCCGGGACUUAAGGGUCGCUGUUUACAGUAGAGCCCCCCACCCCCAGCCAAAUUCUGCUGCAAGGUCCCUGGGGCAGGGCUGCUGGGGCCCAAGGGUUCUCAUAUCCUGUGGGGAAGGGGGUGCUGUCAGAAACUCUUCAUAGUUAAAUAAAACAAGUAUUGUUCUGCGCUUGCUCUCUCUCUCUCUCUCUCUCUCUCUCUCUCUCUCUCUCUCUCCUUUUUCCCCCUGAAACAUUUUUAUUUCACUUACUAAAAUUUAAUCAUUACAUUAGGGGAUCAAGUUCUCCAGGCAGACUUCGAGCUGCCUGGCUGGCCCCUCCGGAGCCACACACAGGCACGAGGAUGAAUGGAGCUCAGUCUCGGCUUGAGAAAACAUUGGUGGAACUCAACUGCCAACGAACCCCCUUUCACGGCCGCCCUCAGCCCCCAGCUGAAAGCACAGAGAAACGUUCUUUCCGAGGUGGCAGCGCAAGCAA